AUACUGCAGUCGAGCGGACAGAAGGGAGCUUGCUCCCGGAUGUUAGCGGCGGACGGGUGAGUAACACGUGGGUAACCUGCCUGUAAGACUGGGAUAACUCCGGGAAACCGGAGCUAAUACCGGAUAGUUCCUUGAACCGCAUGGUUCAAGGAUGAAAGACGGUUUCGGCUGUCACUUACAGAUGGACCCGCGGCGCAUUAGCUAGUUGGUGGGGUAAUGGCUCACCAAGGCGACGAUGCGUAGCCGACCUGAGAGGGUGAUCGGCCACACUGGGACUGAGACACGGCCCAGACUCCUACGGGAGGCAGCAGUAGGGAAUCUUCCGCAAUGGACGAAAGUCUGACGGAGCAACGCCGCGUGAGUGAUGAAGGUUUUCGGAUCGUAAAGCUCUGUUGUUAGGGAAGAACAAGUGCGAGAGUAACUGCUCGCACCUUGACGGUACCUAACCAGAAAGCCACGGCUAACUACGUGCCAGCAGCCGCGGUAAUACGUAGGUGGCAAGCGUUGUCCGGAAUUAUUGGGCGUAAAGGGCUCGCAGGCGGUUUCUUAAGUCUGAUGUGAAAGCCCCCGGCUCACCCGGGGAGGGUCAUUGGAAACUGGGAAACUUGAGUGCAGAAGAGGAGAGUGGAAUUCCACGUGUAGCGGUGAAAUGCGUAGAGAUGUGGAGGAACACCAGUGGCGAAAGCGACUCUCUGGUCUGUAACUGACGCUGAGGAGCGAAAGCGUGGGGAGCGAACAGGAUUAGAUACCCUGGUAGUCCACGCCGUAAACGAUGAGUGCUAGUG
rnacentral:rRNA from 1 species